rnacentral:rRNA from 1 species
CGGCGGCGGUGGGUCCCUGGGGCCCAGAUCGUUUACCGUGAAAAAAUUAGAGUGUUCAAAGCAGGCAGAUCCAAUUUUCUGCCACCGAAUACAUUAGCAUGGGAUAAUGGAAUAGGACCCUGUCCUCCUAUUUUCAGUUGGUUUUGGGCAGCGCGAGGACUAGGGUAAUGAUUAAUAGGGAUAGUUGGGGGCAUUAAUAUUUAAUUGUCAGAGGUGAAAUUCUUGGAUUUAUGAAAGAUUAACUUCUGCGAAAGCAUCUGCCAAGGAUGUUUUCAUUAAUCAAGAACGAAAGUUAGGGGAUCGAAGACGAUCAGAUACCGUCGUAGUCUUAACCAUAAACGAUGCCGACCAGCGAUUAGGAGACGUUGAAUACAAAACACCACCAUCGGCGCGGUCGUCCUUGGCGUCGGUCCUUCACGGGGCCGGCGCGAGGGCGGCUUAGCCCGGUGGCACCGGUGAAUGACUCCCCUAGCAGCUUGUGAGAAAUCAUAAGUCUUUGGGUUCCGGGGGGAGUAUGGUCGCAAGGCUGAAACUUAAAGGAAUUGACGGAAGGGCACCACCAGGAGUGGAGCCUGCGGCUUAAUUUGACUCAACACGGGGAAACUUACCAGGUCCGGACAUAGUAAGGAUUG